UACGGAGGGUGCAAACUUUAAUCGGAAUUACUGGGCGUAAAGCGCACGUAGGCGGUCCGUUAAGUGGGGUGUGAAAGCCCUGGGCUCAACCUGGGAAUUGCAUUCCAAACUGACGGGCUAGAGUGUGGUAGAGGGGGGUAGAAUUCCCUGUGUAGCGGUGAAAUGCGUAGAUAUAGGGAGGAAUCCCUGUGGCGAAGGCGGCCCCCUGGACCAACACUGACGCUGAGGUGCGAAAGCGUGGGGAGCAAACAGG
rnacentral:rRNA from 1 species